CUCAGCACUGAGAGGAAGCUCAGCACUGAGAAGAAGCUCAGCACUGAGAGGAAGCCCAGGCAGGUAGUAGAAACUACCAGAACCUGGCUGGCUGGCGGUUUCAGCAGAUCCUGGUCGACUAGCAGAUCUGGAAGAAUCUGGUCGACUGGCGGAUCUGGGAGAAUCUGGUCGACUGGCGGAUCUGGGAGAAUCUGGUCGACUGGCGGAUCUGGGAGAAUCUGGUCGACUGGCGGAUCUGUUAGAAUCUGGUCGACUGGCGGAUCUGGGAGAAUCUGGUCGACUGGCGGAUCUGGGAGAGUCUGGACGACGGGCAGAUCUGGGAGAGUCUGGUCGACUGGCAGAUCUGGAAGAGUCUGGUCGACUGGCGGAUCUGGGAGAAUCUGGUCGACUGGCGGAUCUGGUAGAAUCUGGUCGACUGGCGGAUCUGGUAGAAUCUGGUCGACUGGCGGAUCUGGUAGAAUCUGGUCGACUGGCGGAUCUGGGAGAAUCUGGUCGACUGGCGGAUCUGGAAGAGUCUGGACGACUGGCAGAUCUGGAAGAGUCUGGACGACUGGCAGAUCUGGAAGAGUCUGGUCGACUGGCAGAUCUGAAAGAGUCUGGUCGACUGGCAGAUCUGGAAGAGUCUGGUCGACUGGCAGAUCUGGAAGAGUCUGGACGACUGGCAGAUCUGGAAGAGUCUGGACGACUGGCAGAUCUGGAAGAGUCUGGACGACUGGCAGAUCUGGAAGAGUCUGGACGACUGGCAGAUCUGGAAGAGUCUGGACGACUGGCAGAUCUGGAAGAGUCUGGACGACUGGCAGAUCUGGAAGAGUCUGGUCGACUGGCAGAUCUGGAAGAGUCUGGUCGACUGGCAGAUCUGGGAGAGUCUGGACGACUGGCAGAUCUGGGAGAGUCUGGUCGACCGGCAGAUCUGGCUGCUCCAUGCUGACUGGCUGCUCAAUGCUGACUGGCAGCUCUGGCUGCUCCAUGCUGACUGGCAGCUCCAUGCCGACUGGCAGCUCUGGCUGCUCCAUGCUGACUGGCUGCUCCAUGCUGACUGGCGGCUCUGGCUGCUCCAUACUGACUGGCAGCUCCAUGCCGACUGGCAGCUCCAUGCCGACUGGCAGCUCCAUGCCGACUGGCAGCUCUGGCUGCUCCAUGCUGACUGGCUGCUCCAUGCUGACUGGCGGCCCUGGCUGCUCCAUGCUAACUGGCAGCUCUGGCGGCUCCUUGCAGACUGGCAGCUCUGGCGGCUCCUUGCAGACAGGCAGUACUGGCGGCUCCUUGCAGACUGACAGCUCCAUGCAGACUGACAGCUCCUUGCAGGCUGGCAGCUCCUUGCAGGCUGGCAGCUCCUUGCAGACUGGCAGCUCCUUGCAGACUGGCAGCUCCUUGCAGACUGGCAGCUCCUUGCAGACUGGCAGCUCUGGCUGCUCCAUGCUGACUGGCAGCUCCAUGCCGACUGGCAGCUCUGGCUGCUCCAUGCUGACUGGCUGCUCCAUGCUGACUGGCGGCUCUGGCUGCUCCAUACUGACUGGCAGCUCCAUGCCGACUGGCAGCUCCAUGCCGACAGGCAGCUCUGGCGGCUCCUUGCAGACUGGCAGCUCCAUGCAGACUGACAGCUCCUUGCAGGCUGGCAGCUCCUUGCAGGCUGGCAGCUCCUUGCAGGCUGGCAGCUCCUUGCAGACUGGCAGCUCCUUGCAGACUGGCAGCUCCUUGCAGACUGGCAGCUCCUUGCAGACUGGCAGCUCUGGCUGCUUCAUGUAG
rnacentral:lncRNA from 1 species